rnacentral:rRNA from 1 species
UUCCGGUUGAUCCUGCCGGACCUGACUGCUAUCGGAUUGAUACUAAGCCAUGCAAGUCAUUGUAGCAAUACAAGGCAGACGGCUUAGUAACGCGUAGUCAACCUACCCUAUGGACGGGAAUAACCUCGGGAAACUGAGAAUAAUACCCGAUAGAACAUUAUAUCUGGAAUGGUUUAUGUUUCAAAUAAUUUAUUGCCGUAGGAUGGGACUGCGGCCUAUCAGUUUGUUGGUGAGGUAAUGGCCCACCAAGACUAUUACAGGUACGGGCUCUGAGAGGAGUAGCCCGGAGAUGGGUACUGAGACACGGACCCAGGCCCUAUGGGGCGCAGCAGGCGAGAAAACUUUGCAAUGUGCGAAAGCACGACAAGGUUAAUCCGAGUGGUUUCUGCUAAAGGAACCUUUUGUCAGUCCUAGAAACACUGAUGAAUAAGGGGUGGGCAAGUUCUGGUGUCAGCCGCCGCGGUAAAACCAGCACCUCAAGUGGUCAGGAUGAUUAUUGGGCCUAAAGCAUCCGUAGCCUGCUUUGUAAGUUUUCGGUUAAAUCCAUACGCUCAACGUACAGGCUGCCGGGAAUACUGCAGCGCUAGGGAGUGGGAGAGGUAGACGGUACUCGGUAGGAAGGGGUAAAAUCCUUUGAUCUAUUGAUGACCACCUGUGGCGAAGGCGGUCUACCAGAACACGUCCGACGGUGAGGGAUGAAAGCUGGGGGAGCAAACCGGAUUAGAUACCCGGGUAGUCCCAGCUGUAAACUAUGCAAACUCAGUGAUGCAUUGGCUUGAUGCCAAUGCAGUGCUGCAGGAAGCCGUUAAGUUUGCCGCCUGGGAAGUACGUACGCAAGUAUGAAACUUAAAGGAAUUGGCGGGGGAGCACCACAAGGGGUGAAGCCUGCGGUUCAAUUGGAGUCAACGCCGGAA